CAAUUCCGUUAUGGAAAUGACUUGGACAGGUACAAUUUUUAUGUUCCUGUUAGUUCACUUGUGAGCUGGGGUUGGGGAAAAAAGAAUUGCCCAGUGGGGUAUGAAGGACACAAGAGUUCCUAUUCCCUGCUGAGAUUCCAGGAACUCAGGAGGUCAUUGUGUCCUGAAAUGUCCUAAAUGGCCACAAUCCCUGCUGGGUUCCCUCUGGUUUUCUCUUGAGUUGGAUUCCAUUCCCUCCCACUCUUCCUCUCCUGAGGGAGUCACAAGGAAUGGGCCAGCUGGAUGUAUGGAGGGAUUCAGCUUCAUUCAUGAUUCAGAGAUAGAGGGGUGGGGGCUUAGGUGGAUAUCAUUCCAUCCACACCUAUUAGACAGCCCAGAGGAGGGAAGGAAUGUGCCUGUCUGCUGUGUAGCAGAGUGUGUUGUGCACAGUGGAGCUGGGGCUAGCUUUGGGAGAAGUGUCCCAAGCAGCAGGAAUGUGAACAGGUGAGGCUUCCAGCCCACAGGAGCCUGCAGAGAGUGUGCGAGACUGAAUUGGAAGGAUGCCCACAGUGUGGUUUUCUGUGCCUCUGUUGCCUUCUCAAGUCUCCUGAGUGACAUUCUGGGCUUAGGGCUUGGAGCCAUGUGGGUCAUCUAUCCAGGAGAGGUAGGCACUCGGGUGACUUGAAAAAGAAUCUUCCCUUGCAAGGUCCAUGUCCCUGCAACCACUGCCCCCUCACCUUCCCCAGCCCACUUUUUCUAUGACCUUGGGAGAGUGUACUUCCGGGCGACAGUGAUGCCAAAAUAAAUACCACGCCGGUGCUGGCACUGAACCCUGGAAAAACACUUGCCAAAGAGCAAAGUAUAAUAAUGCCCCCAGGCAGGGAAAGGUGGAUCAAUGGAUUUGGGGACAGAUGAAGGAUAGAGGGAGAAUGGGAGCUGAAGGACGAUUCUUUUGGCAAGGUAGCCUGAGCCUUGUGUGGGCUACUGAGGAUGGUUCCCUCUGGGGUUUAAGGAUGAGCGUACAACUCUCAGAUUUCUGGGGGAACAUUUGGAAACUUCCACUACAUGUUCCUGCUGUGGCCCUAUUUCUCUAUCUGCAGGAGGGAAUGGCUUGGUUUCUUGGAGACACCUCCCUCCUUAGAUGAGAAGGGACCCAGUGAGUGAGGGAGGUCAUGAAAUCAUUCUCCCUGGCUGGGGUGGAGGGUUGAAAUGGAGUCCCGGGUAGUGUCCUCUUCUCUUAGGGUUGACAAGGGACAUCUAGCAAUGACCAGUGAACACCUAUGCCUGUAAGAUGUCUCUGUGUCUGUGCACACCUGUGCCUGUCUCUGUGAUCCACAACUGUAACUUUGAGUGUGGUACAUUCAGCAAGCCUCACCCAGCUUUGGGAGAGACAGACACUUGGAAGAAUAUAAACAACUCCACUACAUUCUACUGGGAAACCUGAGGGAGGUUAGCUCCUGCAAGUGUUUUCUGUCUAGUUCCUCAUACCUGUCUCUCCCUGUGAGCCACAGCUUAGCUCAAGGGGCAGACUUGCUCACACUCACCUGUCUUUUCACCUUUUUCUUUCCCUUUCAUUGUGCCACAUGUAGUUUCUCAGUCUUUUUCUCCCCUGUGCAACUAUUGCCUGCUUUAAAUUCAUUCUGUUUUAAAUAGUGAGUUUGAUUUCUGUUUUCCAAGUUGGGCCCUGGCUGGGAUAGAGUAGUGAUCAGAACGGACUAGGUGCCCGUAGUCAUGGAACUUAUAUCUUUGCUUGGGGUUGUGGGGAGGACACAGAAAAUAACUAUAAUAUGCCAGGAGGUGAUGACGGAGAUAGGUGAUGGAGAAUCCCAUGCUGGGGAUGGGGGGAAGGGAAGACCCUUUUGAUGAAGUGGCAUCUGGGCUGCAGAAGGUGAGGAAGUGAGUGCGGCUGGUAUCUGAGAGAAGAGUCUGCCUGGCAAAAGUCCCAAGGGGCAGCAUCCUGGCACGCUGGAAGCAGUGAGAAUACUGCAUGGCAGAGUGGAGUGAGUGGGAGGGGUGGUGGUAGGAAAUGCAGUGGAAGAAGCAGUGGGGGGCAGACCAUUCAGGAUACUGCAGACCACUGUGAGCACUUUGGCUUUUACCCUGAGUGAGAAGCAAAACCACUGGAGGAUUCUGGGUAGAGAAGGGAUGUGAUCUGACUUAUAUUUAAGAAGGACCACUUAAAAUUAGCCAGAUGUAGUGGUGUGCACCUGUAGUCCCAGCUACUUGGGAGGCUGAGGUGGGAGGACGGCUUGAACCUAGGAGGCAGAGGUUGCAGUGAGCUAAGAUCAUGCCACUGCACUCCAGCCUGGGCGACAAAGCAAGGCUGUCUCAAAAAAAAAAAAAAAUUAGAUCAUUUUAGCUGCUGAGUGGAGAAUAGACUGAAGAAGCAGAGAGACCAGUUUAUCUACCCAGCUUGCUACAUGUAACAGAAAAUCUAAGAUUUUUUUUUUUUCAUCUUAAAAAAAUCCAGAGGUCACGGUUGAGAGCUGGAAAGGUAGCUUCCCAAAGUCAUCAAGGAUGCAGGCUUCUGUAUUGCUGUUUCACCAUCCUGAGUUUUGGCUUUCACCCUCCUGGAUACUUCAUGGUCUCUAGUGAGUGCUGAAACUAUGGACCCUGGACCCACUCUGAAGGGAGCAGAAGGAGCUGGUCUGCCCCCCUUUAACAAGUCUUCUCAUCAGUCUCAUUCAGCAUUUCUGAUUCCAUCCCAACCACCACAUGGGAGACACAUGGCCACACCUAGCUGCAAGAGAAGCCAGGAAAUAUAGCUUAUCUGUUACACAUAUUGUCCAGGUUUUUGUCCCUGAGGAAGAAGGGGAGGAUGGAUUUUGGAUGGCAGUUAGCAUCCUCUACCACCCAGUUGGAAGGCUCUUGUAAUAAUCCCAGGGAGAGGUAAUGUUGGCUUUUACCAGUUGGUAGUGGAACAGAUGGUGCAGGUGGUCAGAAUCUAUAAUAUUUUGAAGGUAAAUCUGACAGCAUUUGCUGAAAAAUUGUGUGUGUGUGAGAGAGAGACAGAGAGAGAGAGAGAGGAAUUUCUGCUAUGGAAUAAAUGUUUGUGCCCCCCUAAAAUUCAUAUUUUGAAGUUCUAAUCCCCAAUGUGAUGGUAUUUGGAGGUGGGGCCUUUGGGAACUGAUUAGGUCAUGAGAGUGGAGCCCCCAUGCAUGGGAUUAGUGCCCAUUAUGAGAAGAGACCUCAAAGAGAUGACUGUUUCUCUGCCAUGUGAAGAUACAACAAAAAAGGAGGCUGUUGUCUGCAAACCAGGAAGCAGUCCCUCACCAGACACUGAAUCUGCUGGCACUUUGAUCUUGGAUUUUCCUGCUUCUACAAUGGCGAGAAAUAAACGUUUGUUGUUUAAGCCACUCAGUCUACCGUAAUUUGUUAUAUCAGCCCAAGCUGAUAAGCUUUGACUAAGAUCAAAGGGAGGAUGAUGCCAGGUUUUUGGCCCGAGCAGCUACAAGAAUGGGGUUGCUAUGGACUGAACUGAGAAAGGCUCUUGAAGGAGCCCCGUUGGUGAGGGAGUGUUGUCUUGGCUGUGUGAAGUUUGAGAGGCUUAAUAGACAUCUUGGUGGAGCUUUAAAGCAGGCAGUUUGAUACAUAAGGCUAAAGUUCUGGGGGUGUUUCUGGGCUGGAUGAUGUUUACAGCCAAAAGAUUGCAUGGGACUACCUUGGGCAUGGUACAG
rnacentral:lncRNA from 1 species